rnacentral:lncRNA from 1 species
AACAUGCAAUAUGCAAAUUAUGCAACCCAUAUAGUAGAUUAAUUGCUUCGACACUUUAUUCUUAUCCAUUCUUUACUUUUACUCAUUCUUCACUUUACUAGCUAUUCUUUAGCAUUAACCCUUCUUUAUUCUUUAUUACUUGUCAUUCUUCAGCAUUAGCCUUUUCUUAUUCUUGAUUCUUCAUUCUUUAUCCUUUACGCUUUACUAAGGGUACUCACACCUUAGUAAUAUUAUACACAUUAGCCUUUCUUUCCUAAAGUUACUUUACCUUAGCCAACUUUGCCAUCCGACUCGGUCUUGAGUCAAUCAACUGCGGAUAGUCCGCGCUCUAUCCGGCUCGAGGUGAAGGAACUCUCACAUACACCUCAGCCUUCAAUCACAAACCACAUCGCCCAACGGGUCACCCAGAGCUGCGUACACCCGUGGUCAGGGAUCCCCCGGUGGGAGAGGAACAUGCCGCAUACACCCGCAGCCGAGAUCCCCGAUAGGGAGAGGAAUAUGCCACAUGCACCCUAGCGCUCAUCAUUCUUGCUCAUUAACAAGCCUCGAAGUUCUUCCGGUGGGAGAGGAACACGCCACAUGCACUCGCGGCCAAGAACUAUCGAGCUUGUAUGCUGCACUAGCAGCAGGGAUUCUGGAAUCCACUUUACAUUACUCAAGGGUUGGUCUCACCCUAUGUUAUCGACCUAUCUAGGUCCAAACCUUUACUCAACCUAAAUUAAUACAUUAGGUUCAAUGUCAUUAUCUUCUUAGCCUAGGUUCAUUGACACUAGGUCCAACAUUCUUUAUCACCUAAGUUCAUUUGACUCUAGGUUCUAUAUCAUUACAUUUACAACCUAGGUUUAUUUGACUCUAGGUUCAAUGCCACUCAUAUUCUUGUUUUCCUAGUUGCCCACACCUAGAAAUUAUACUUAACAUGCCACUCGUGAAUAACCUAUGUUCAUCGACACUAGGUUCAUUAUUACUUUUGUUUAACCUAUGUCCUUGACACUAGGUCCAAUGCCACUCGAUCUAUAGGUGCAUUUAUGUCCACUUACACAUAUUCUUUACUUAGCAUUCUUAUCUUAUCAUUAUGCAUUUUCACUAGCAUGCUUUCUACUUUACGUUAACAUGCAAUGCCACUUAUCUCAUGCCUUUAGCUAACAUCAUUCGAUGCAUUUUCUUAGCAUUCUUAUUUAGCAAUUCUUACAUUAUGUCAACAUACAUUCUUUUAGCAUUUCUAUCAUGCGUCCAUUUCUAAAACAUGCAUCUAGCUCAUGUUACUUGAAAUUUAACUCAUACAUUUAUCUAGCAUAUGUCUUACAUACUCCUUUAGCGUUUAGCUCUUACAUUCAUUAGCAUACUUUACAUACAUUUACUUAGCAUCCAGCUCAUGUCGUCAUAUGCAUUUAUUAGCAUCAUUAUGGUACAUUCUUAAUUGGCAUUCUUAUUAUGCAUUCUUACUUAACAUUCUUAUCAUGCAUCAAUAGUGAAACACACUACACUUUGGCAUGAAGGCGACCUAGUCGCUUCGGUAAACACAACCCACCUUUUAACGCUUUCCGAUUGCUUGUCGUCACUUGCAAUCGGCCUCCCGCGGCACCCGUGACCCGGUUUGGCCCAAACUCUUGCGCGACCACCCGAACGGCCACCAAUCCGCGAUCCGUCUGUUCGGGAGUUUAUUCCCCGACACCACGAUGCUCCCGAUCCAUUUUCAUGAUUUUUGGAGGCUUAUCCCGCGUGCUGCGGCUAUCUGUACCAAAACAGAUUGUUUCGUCAAUAACUUCGCGUACACUCGUCGGAUUGUCGAACCGAGCGCACCAACGCGUUCGUUAUACCCCCAAUUAGGUUUGUAUAGGGUCAAUUGAGAUCAAACUCAACUAUUUACAAAAACCCCUUUUUGGAGCCCUAAAUGCAAUUAUAGCAAAAUGCCCCAUUUCAUCUCAUGAAUCAAGCAUAAACCAUCUAUUUAGCAUGCUAAGAUUCCAUUAAAAUCAUCUUUAGAGUAUAAGAACUUAACCCUAAAGAUCUACCAUUAAAGCUCCAAGAAGCUUACCUCAAGAAGCUUGCUCCAAGGUGAAGAAGAAGAUGAUGGAGGGAAGCUCUCCACUUGCUUCACCUUCUUUUCCUUUUCUUCUUCUUCUUUCUCUUCUUCUUCUUCUCUUCUCCUUUCCUUUCUAGAGAGAGAGAGAGGAGGCUUGGGGGAUGAUACGGUGAGGGAGAGGGAGAGAGAGAGGUUCUAAUCCUCUCUAUACAUAUAACUCAUGCAUAAAAUGCCAACAAGUCCCUCAACAAUCCUCUUCUUGCAUCAGCCCAAACUGGGCAUUUUCGGGGUUCUGAGACCGGUCCUUGCGGUGAGAGACCGGUCCCCGAAAGGCCAGAAUUCCAGACUUAGCCAAUUUUUCAGCAUUUUCAGCCUUUAUCCUUUUUCACUCCGUUUUCGCUCGUUUUCGCUCGUUUGACCUCCGUUUCUUUUCAAAUCGAACCGAGACUCUCCAAACAUGUUUUCAAGCAUGUUUUCAUCAUCUUUUCAUCCACGCUAAUGCCGGAUUUAGUCCAUGGUCCAUCAUAGCCUUUCGGGUCCCGUUUUCGCGCCCUAUGCGCACCGAAGCACCCGAAUGCUCCCGAACUUCGCCGGAACGAUUCUAAUGGCUUUCUAAGCUAACAUACAUCGUAACUUCAUGAAUUAGAAGUUCGGUAUAUUACAUUCUCCACCCCUUAAAAAGAGUUUCGUCCGCGAAACUCAAACCACACCUCAAUUCAGCUCCUCGAGCAAUUGAGGGCACUAAUGCACUUUUACACUUCGGAAGGCUUUACACUCUUUGGAACUAUCCAAGAGGACUACUACGGAGCUCAUGAUACAAAACGCAUCCAACUUUGUAAGGCACAUCUCACAAAGUGCAUUACGGUCUCCGUCACUCUAUGUGGUAGCGCAAGUCGAAACUCGACGACUCUACGCGCUCCAACUCCACUUGCCACUUGACAAGCAAGAACUCUUCUUUGCAUUUACUUCCCCUUCAGGGAAUGCAUUUCAAAUCAAUCACCGACAUUGCCUAAAAGCAAUAUCAUCGGUGCAUCGCUUUAUCGUGAGUGCUCUAACUCCGCACCGACUUUUGCUCUAAUGUGAGAUGGCCCACUUCAGCACAUCCCCACUUCCAAUCCUCAAAUUCCACGUGGCUUGCCAUAAGCUCAAGGUCUCUCCAAGAGCACUUCAUCACCUGAUACCAUAUGCCACGGUCAACACCACAUCACCUUCGCAACAACUCACACGAACACUUCGUUCGUGAAUUCAAGUCAAACUCCUCGAUAAGGCUAUCUGCCAAAUCGCUUUCCUCGGUCUUCAUUGGUGGUCCAAAGGCCACCAAUACUACGUAGGCCCACAGCCUAAACCUGUCUCAAUAUACGCGCAGCGCCUCUCGCUCGCAAGCGUAGACCCAAUCAUCACUGGGGCGAAAUUCUCACUUGGGAAUUCACACACACUCCAACCAGGAGCAACUAAAAUCCCAAACCAUUACAAAUCCUUUGGUUGGGUCACAAUCGUACUCUCGGUAUUCUCUCAAUCGCAUUACACGCUCUAUCGAGCAAUGCGUGUCACUACCGGCUCCUAUGCACCUAGUGCGAGCCACUAGCCCCACGAGUGAUUCAUGGCACACUUCACACUGGGCAAUGCCCAAGUGCUAUUGCAAACAAACUCACUCGGCAGAUCCAUAUUCGCACUCCACGAGUACCUAUACUCGAGCGUUGUACGCUACUAUAGCGUGCUACAAUAAGCCUGGGUUUUGGGCAAUCUUGCCCGAGCACAAUGCAACCGGUCUCACCCAGAGGGACCGGUCUCUCGGGGAUCGGUCUCUCCCGCAGGGACCGGUUCCCGAGAGCCUGUUUUCUUGAACUUAGCCAAUUUUUCUCCUUUGCUGGGCUUCUCACGCGUUCGGGGACCGAUCUCUCCAGCAGGGACCGGUCCCCGAGAGCCCAAAAACUACAGUUUGCAGAUUUUGAUUCUUAAGCUCUCAAAAACCUCCCACAAUGCACUUUUACUCAUUCUAACGCCUUCGGUCUUUCCGAAGCAUAGCAACCUCGCACUUCGAUCAAUUUGACUAAAGUUCGACAUUUACUUUCCGAAUUCUUCGGCAUAUCACAUUCUUGGUCCUUACUAUACUACUACAUAAAUAGUAGUAAUUAACUAUAUACUCAAUGCAUGUGACGCUCCAACUUUACAUCAUGCCGAAACACAUAACUGCAUGAAUAACUCAUACCUGCCACGACGUCGUCAGCAGCAGGUCCCACAAGCUGGGUCGCGUGUCCAUAGCCACUUGGCGCCCGCCGCGGACCCCUCGGUUGCAUCACUGUCAUCGCUCGCUCUCCCGACCGUGCCGCAGGUGGCACACCCGCCGGCUGUCCCGGAGAGGAAAAAGCCGUCGCCAACACUAAGGCCCGGCUAUCACCUUGCGGACACUCAUCCCGCAUAUGGCCUGGCUGCCCACAACGGAUACAUCUUCCAUCACGCAGCGCACACCGCCGCGCCUGGUGGGUACCACCACAAAUCACACAACCUGGGGAGGAUCGAGUAGAGGACGUCUUCGAGUGGCGCCUAGAACUUGACUGCCCACCCGAACUGUUCGACAAUUGCCUCACCCCUCCCCGCUCAUGCUUAUGAGAUUCGCGCUCCUCAUGCACGAAAGCCUCGCCAUGCUCUGCCCACAAUGCUCGGUCCAACACCUCCGCGAAGGUUGUGAGCUUGAGGAUUUGCACCUUCUCGUAAAUAUCUGGUCGAAGUCCACGUAAGAACCAAUCGGCCAUAUCCUUGUCAUCCCGUACCACAUCCGGGACACAAUUCACGAUACGGGAAAACUCCCGUUCGUACUCCCGCACUGAGCGGUCUCCUUGACGCAGCUUCCUGAACCUGUCCUGAAGCUUUCGCUUUUCACUGUCGGGGAAGUAAGCUGAGAAUACCAAUCCCCGAAACUCAUCCCAUGCCAUAGGAGGAAGACUAGGCGAUCGGUUCCGCCGAAUGCCUUUCCACCACACCUUCGCCGAUUGCUUCAAGCAAUGCACGGCUAGGGGUACCUUGUCCCGCUCCAAUGUGUACAGCUCCUCAAAGAGCGUUUCCAUGGAGUCAAUCCACAUAUCCACAAUCCAGGGAUCAACAUUCUCUCCAUCGAAGGUAGGCGGAUCAAACUUUACGAAGGUCAUGAGGGCCGCCAAAGCCCGCUCUUUCUCCGCCUCCGCCAAUGCACUUUCGGGAGUCGGAUCGCCCGACCCCGACGGAACCAUCUCUGCUGCAAGCCCUGCCCGUCCUCGACGAGCCGCAACUGGCGCAGCCACUAGCUGCUCCACGGUCUCUUGGAGUCUCUUGAUCCGUUCUUCCUGGCGCAUAGCAGCCUCCUGCUGACGCUGCACUACGCCCACAAGCAUUCCCAACUGUUCGCGGAGCUCCGAGUCUCCUCUCGCUCCGGAUUGCUCAGGAACAUCACUUGUCCCAUCCCGCGUCGAUCUAGCCGAAGAUCGCCUACGCGGUGCCAUCGUUCCCUGACACAUGACAACUCGAUUAAUUCUCAACCUUCGAGGUCGAGUACAAAACAUUUAACAUUGACUCAAAUCGGGCGAAAGUUAUACAAGGGCGUCUAUUCUCAUCACUCGGUUUCAUGUUGUCGUACGCCCAACAUGAACACACUCGGUUGAGAAUAAACCACACCUUGAAUCUACCUCUAACAUCCAUUAUAGAGGUUUACCACAUAACCCAAUCAUUAACCUUUCGCCACAAGUCUCCAGUCCUCGUCUCUCACGAGCCUUAAUCUCCUAUGGUUUACUAUCCUAGGGUCUCCUAGGUCAAGCUAAACCAUUUUCUUUAAACUCUUUUAUGUUCUUUUUAUGUUCUCUCUAUGUUCUCUUUAUGUUCUUUUUAUGCUCUGAUACCAUCUUAUCUGUCACGCCCCGAGCCCGCCUCUUUGGUCGGAUUCGGGCACGCCAACAGACCGCCGAACGGACAGGGUUUCCCCUGUACCGCGGACAGAGUCUCCCCUGUACGUUCAAGGCGUCGCAAUCAAUACAAUGUACGAAGUUCCAACCAGGAACACAUUUCAAGCAAAGAUUGCAUAAGGAAGUAUCAAAAACAUAAAUCUACUUGCUAUUACAAGCAUUCACAUUCAUACAUUUUUACAUCACAAUUCUCAUUUGAUUCUUACAUUAGCUUUCACUUAACUUCCAAAUACAAUCCGAUUUUAACAUAGUUAUUACAACAUUGUUCUUACAAUUAUCACAUUUUUGGUUCUUUGCAUUUUAUACCCCUAAGAAGCCGACUCAGGGUGCUGCUAUCUGGUCUCAGUGGUAGGGCGCUAACUACGGAGCUACGCCCUUUCCUCGCGCCGCCGCGCCGCUCGCGUGUGAACCUGUAAAACCCCGAAACAACGUGGGGUGAGAACUAACUCCAUAGUUCCCAGUGGGUACGGCCACCCAAGGGAAGAGCUCGACCAUCAGGUCAAAGGAGGCAAACAACAUGUUAGUCCAAUAGAUAGAUAUGAAAUCAUAAAUCAUGCAACUAACAUUACCAUGCUUUUGCCUCACAACAUGCAAUAUGCAAAUUAUGCAACUCAUAUAGUAGAUUAAUUGCUUCUACACUUUAUUCUUAUCCAUUCUUUACUUUUACUCAUUCUUUACUUUACUAGCUAUUCUUUAGCAUUAACCCUUCUUUAUUCUUUAUUACUUGUCAUUCUUUAGCAUUAGCCUUUUCUUAUUCUUGAUUCUUCAUUCUUUAUUCUUUACGCUUUACUAAGGGUACUCACACCUUAGUAAUAUUAUACACAUUAGCCUUUCUUUCCUAAGGUUACUUUACCUUAGCCAACUUUGCCAUCCGACUCGGUCUUGAGUCAAUCAACUGCGGAUAGUCCGCGCUCUGUCCGGCUCGAGGUGAAGGAACUCACACAUGCACCUCAGCCCUCAAUCACAAACCACAUCGCCCAACGGGUCGCCCAGAGCUGCGUACACCCGUGGUCAGGGAUCCCCCGGUGGGAGAGGAACAUGCCGC